CCUACGGGCGGCAGCAGUGAGGAAUAUUGGUCAAUGGGCGCGAGCCUGAACCAGCCAAGUCGCGUGAGGGAAGACGGUCCUAUGGAUUGUAAACCUCUUUUGUCGGGGAGUAAAAGACGCCACGCGUGCCGUUCAGAGAGUACUCAAUGAAUAAGCAUCGGCUAACUCCGUGCCAGCAGCCGCGGUAAUACGGAGGAUACGAGUGUUAUCCGGAUGUAUGGGGUUUAAAGGGGACGAGAGGGGAAGAGAAGGUCGGAGGGAAAAUUUGGGGGCUGACCCUAAUAAGGCUGUUGACACUGGCUGUCUUGAGUGAGGGAGAGGGAGGCGGAAUGCGUGGUGUAGCGGUGAAAUGCAUAGAUAUCACGAAGAACUCCGAUUGCGAAGGCAGCCUACCG
rnacentral:rRNA from 1 species